rfam:Otolemur garnettii contig035139, whole genome shotgun sequence.
AAAGAUAGUAGCAAAACAAGAUUGUAUAAAUCUUUCGCCUUUUACUAAAGAUUUCCGUGAAGAUAGUAGCAAAACAAUUUGAGUACAAAUUUUUAUGUGUUUUUACUAUUUUCCAAAUGC